ACGGCGACAGCGCCGCCGGCGUCACAGUCGACGUCGCUGCCGGCGUUUGAGAGACCGAGCGGCGUGCAAGAAAUCGUCGGGCAACGGCUUCAAAUGAACGCAAAACGUUGGAAAGCAAACAACCGCAAAAAAGCCAUCAGCUAAAAAUAAAACUGCAACUAUCAAAGUGAAUCUGUAGAAAAUGAGUGAGAUAGCUCAGUGUGCCCAGUGUUUGUUUAAUUACUUAUUUAAAUUUUAUUUACAAAAUAAGUUGUGAUUUUUGUUCGUUUGUUUGUUUCCCCAUUUAAUCUCAUCGCGGAACUGGUUUGCAUUUUGUAUCUUUUUAUCGCUGCAGUUCAUUUCUGUGUGGAUAAAAGUGAAGGAAACCCUAACGUUUAAACGCCGCCAUAAACACCAAAUAACAAAUUUUCUGGCAAACAUGGCAUGUCAGGGUCCCAUUAAACGUGGAAAAUCAGCCCAGAAAUUCAACACGACGACAACUUUUCGACUGUCCCAGAAACCAAAUAUGUAUAGUGUAUUUGUGUGCGUGCCAUUGACAUUGACUUAUGGUCAUGGUGGGGUUAGGGGGAGGGGUCCAAGGGUGGGGGUUGACGGCGAGAGGGGGGUCUCGAGGCUAUGACAAAAACUUGGAUUCUCUCGUUUCUUUUUCGCCUUUCGUCUUUCGCCUUCCACGCACAUUUAUGGUUUGUUUUGCUCACACACACACACACAGACACACUUAUACGCAUACAACAGCCUACGCAGCGGUAGAAAGAGAGGGCAGAAGCAGCAGGGAAAGAGACGAAACAUGUCUCGGAUGAUGAUAAACGCUUCUCGUCUAUUUUGGCGGGUCCAUGAAUGAAACAAUUGCCCCGAAUGACUGACUGCCAGACAGAUAGCUACAAACUGCCCUUACGGGGGGUCAAAUGGGGGUAUUUUCCGGUUUUGGGGGCUUCGAGGGACCAGGAACUUGGGGCCGGGAAAGCCGACAGCAAUAAACAAUGUGCUACGACAAAAGUCUGAUGAGACAGACCAUCAUGAAGCUCAUCAUCGUCGGCGAUAAUAAUGAUUUUCAUUUGCACAUUCCACCCGUUUCGCCGUUGCCGGCUUCCAGCAUUCAGUUUGCAUUCCGUGGGGCAGGUUAUUUAUGGCGCUUUUCCUAUCCCCACUCACUGGGGCAAUCGAUUUUUAUUGGAUUAAUAUUGCUUUCCGCAUGAUUUGGCCUUCUUUUCGUUAUCACUUAGCAGGUUUCUUGGCACUAAAGAGUGGACCAUGACUAUGACUCAGUCAACUGGAAAAGCUGGACCAAGGACAUCCAUAUAUGGCGGAAUAUAAAGACACGUCUUAUGUGACAAGUGCUGGCUAAACGUUGAGGUUAUCGCAAUCAUUUUCGAUUCUCGGGCCCAUCCCAACCCUGUUGAAAAAUCAGCCGGACAGCAGCAACCACCGAACAGGACACAGGACGACCGGAAGUGAGGAAAACGCUUGUAAAAUCAGUCGCACACGAGUGCGAGCGAGACACGAGCGAACGGGCGAACGGGCCGAAAGGAAACGACAAUUACGAGGACAUGCCGGCUUGCUUUUCUGCUUUUCCUGUCUGCUCCUUUCAGUUGCGGCCGUGCAAUCGUCGGGUCAACAACGCCGCGUGUCCGAUUUCGAUCUACAAAUUAUAAUAUAUAUCUUCACAUCUGGAUUUGGUCUCAUCUUUAUCUGCAUCUGGAUCCGCGACGACGUAUAAUUUUCAGCACUUUUGGAUUAAGGCGAUUCUGUGCGACCUCGUAAACGUAUACUGAAUGUAUCCUGAGUGUAUCCUAUCCGGUAUACCUUCAGUAUACGUAACACGAGAAAGCACGAGCAACGUGGGAUGUGAAACACUUUUUAAGACUCUACAAUACACGUAGCACUUUGUUACUUGGUAUUACACUUUUUUAAACUGCUCGACUUAGAAAUACACAAUUUAAACAUAAAUAUUUCAAUAAAUGCCCGCUAUAAAACUAAGAAA